rnacentral:rRNA from 1 species
UACGAGUGCCCCAAGCGUUAUCCGGAAUUAUUGGGCGUAAAGGGUGUGUAGGUGGCGAUGUUAGUCUUCUGUCAAAUUCUUCGGCUUAACCGGGGGUCUGCAGAGGAAACGGCAUUGCUCGAGGAUGCGAGGGGUGAAUGGAACUCAUGGAGUAGGGGUGAAAUCCGUUGAUAUCAUGGGGAACACCAAAAGCGAAGGCAAUUCACUGGCGCAUUCCUGACACUGAAACACGAAAGCGUGGGUAGCGAACGGG